UCAGUUGCUACAGACGUCUCACCAGACUAGAACAGUUUUUUUUUUUUCCCAGAAACACAUAUGGAUAAUAUUUCAAAGAAAUAGAGAGUGGAUUCUUUACAAUCUCAAAAAUACAGUGCUCUCAGUUACACACAAAAAAUUUCUACUUCUAUUUAACAGAUACACAGAUGAAGAUGACAUCUAUGGAAUCUUUUCCUUGCAAUUGAUGCAUUCUUUAGUCCAGUAAUAUCAUCUCACUUUGUAUCCAAGACAUUCUCUCUGUUCAUGUAGAAUUCAGGAAUGAUAUAAAAAGAAAGGAAGAUGAGAUGAAGAGAACAGUGCCAACCCUCAAAGAGGUCCUAAUCCAUUCGUGCAUGUUUGGGAGGAAGACAAAGAAAGAAACUUCCAAAUGUAUUACCGUAUGAGCCUGCAUCGUGAACCUACUGUGUGCAAAGUGCCUGGAAGCCCUUGAGGAUGGGAAGAUUAAGGCCUCCUCGUGGUUUCUCUGGUGCCAGCAGACUCUGGAGGAAAGAGACAAGCAAACAGGAGCCUUGCAGGAGGGGUGAGGGCAAACCCUGAAGUUGAAUGAAGGGAAUUGCAUCCGUUCUCCAUGAUGGCUGAAGAAGGUGUGGAGGAGGGAAGCCACAUGUGGAUGGAACCUUUUUGAAGCAUAAACAUUUGGGUACACUCUAAGAUUUGGAACAAUCUUCACCAUGAUCAGGAAAUACGUUAUAUUGCAGUAUCCCCUACUGUGCCUAAAAAUGUAAUGUGUUCACUUUGUCUUACAAUUGAUUUCUAAUGACUUCAAACUUAUGUAUCUUCUUUGUGUCUUAAAGUAAAUUUCAAAUAAUGGAAUGUCAAGCAUCAGAAUAGAGGGGUAGAGGUGUACAUAUAUUGCAAUUAUGUCCUUGAUACUGAUUUAAGUAAUCACUCCCUAACUCUACUCUAACAUUUUUAUAGAUUAUGAACUCUGGUGAAUUUUAUAGCUGCCGCCUUUGUCUGCCUGAUCCUAUACUCUUAAAUCUAUCCAGUCCACAUAAGCAUGAAGUGGAACGAAGAAAACUAGUACAAACUAAACUUACAUCUCCAGCAUUACAUCACAAAGUUCCAGACCCCCUCAAUAUCUCCUGAAUAGGUUCGUGCUCUUACUCAGUUCUGCUGCGUAACAAGUUCUUGAGCUCUCAGAGGUCUCUCUCACUUCUAGAACUCAUGUUGUUGUGGCAUGUAGAAUUUAACUCCUGCAUCUUAAACAUGCUACUUUUUGUAGGACAUAGUUGGAGCUCACACUCUUUCUCUUCUUUAGAUAUUUGAGUCAAUGAACUGUUUUCAACAAGUAUAAAUAAUUGCUGUUUUUCAGAUAGCUUCUGCUUAAUUUAGGUUCCCAGAAAUAAAUACUGAGAUGGAGAUGUGUGGGCAAGACUUUUUUUUCUCUUAGUGAGUGCUGUCUUCAAGAUUGUCCUCAGUUGGGAUGAGGUGCUUUUUAUGCGUCUCCGUGAAAAAGUUAUUUGAGGUAGGCUGCCUCCAGGGGAGAGGAUGUGAUCUUGGCAAGACAGCUGUCUUUAUCUGAGGCAAUUCUCCAAGAUGCUUGACAACUGAGGGCUGUCUGUUGGCAGCAUUCCCAGCAGCUGAGGAAUAAGUCCUUUUCUGUCUUAAAGCAAGAUCUGGACAGUGUUGCAUAGGCUCCUAUAGUUGGUAAGGUCUAAGAACCUUCCAAUAGGUAAAAAUGUCUUAAUAACCUAAUUUUUGGAAAUAUAUCAUAAGAAAAAUUUCAGUGUGAUGGUCUUCCUGUAAGAAUAAUACAGUAUUUCUCAAAGUGUGAUUCUGAAACACUACUACUAUUAGGAAUAUGUUGAAUACUGAAUAACAAUCUCUGAAGAUUGGUUCAAGGUCAUUAUAUUAAUUAAUACUCCUCUAAAACCAAGUGAAUCAGACCUUCUAGAGUCUGUGGAAAAGACUGCUAUGUAAGAGGGAGGAUUUUCCUGGUCUUAAGGCAAAGCCGUCUUUACUGGUAUGUGUGUGUGUGUGGAUGGGGGCAAGGGAGGCAGGUGUGUGUGUGUGUGUGUAUUGAAUGAAUGAUAAGUAUUCAUGUUGAUAAUGUGACACACAUAACAACUUAAGUGCAAAUUGUAUAUGAAGGCCUAUUUUAACAAAAACAAUAUUUUGAGGAUUUAGGGUUUUUUUUUCCAAAAUCAUUUGGAAGCCUUUGGAUAAAUGGGAAUUUGGUUAAAAUGUCUUGUUAGAUGGUGGCCAGGAAUAAAUCACCAGCUAGUGAAAUUCAUCUAGUAAUAACCUGGGAUCUACCAAACAAAACUGUUUUGUGCAUAGGAACUGCAAGAGAUGAUAUAAAUGUUGGCCUUCAAGGUAGCCAUGAUUUUUAAAAUUAUCACAAUGAAUCAAAUUCAUUGUCAUUAAUAGCUCUGUCAGCCCCUUGCCUUCCAACUCAAUGAAGAUGACUCAAUAUUUACAUCUCCAUCUGCAAUAUCUUGGCUAAUCUCCAGAUAUAUUAAUUCAAAUUCCUGCUUGAAAUCUCUACUUAGAUUUCAUAAAAUUCUACUUGAGCAUUAACAGAGCCGAAAGCAAACCUUUUAUUCUCUACCACAUCAUUCCAAAUCUGUUUGUUCUCUGGCAUCCCUAUGUCAUUAAGUAAUGCCACCGUAUUGAAAUUGUUCAACUCAAAACUCGGAAAACCACCUCAAUCCAUGACUCCUUCAGCACCUUCCUAAAGCUAAAUGUAGUAUAAUUGUCCCCAACUAGCCUCUUUUUCACUCUUCUCUCAACUCCAAGCCUAUAUUGUCUCCAUACAGCAGCCAGAGUCAUCUUUUCAUAUUAUCAUUAGGUAGCAUUAUUACCCUUUUGAAAUAUCAUCAAAAUCUUUUCAUAAUACAUUUUAUAACAUACCAAUGACACCUAUCAUAUCCUACACAUUCCUACUUGGCAUGACCCCUGCUCAUUUUUCCAAAUCUUUUAUCAUUCUUUUCUUUGUUUAUUCUUCAAAGCACAAUGACAUUCCUAUUAAUUUUGGGAAAAUAAAAGUGAAUUCUUAUCUUGGAAAUUUUUUCUUGCUGUAUUCUUCUUCUGGAAUGAUCAGCCUCCAGAUCUUCUCCAGGAGGAAGUCUGAAUAUUCCCACAUGUACCCAAAUAUUAUCUUUCAGCCAGGCUUUUUCUUACAAUCCAAUAUAAAUCACCACCUCGCCCAUCUUCCCCUAACAUAUCACCUUUUAUUUAUUUAUUACAUUUGUCAUUAUACUAUUUAUUAGUGCUUGUGAAUAUUAUUCUUUAGAUAAUUGAAACUCUACAGAUAAAGUAUCUUGCUUGGCUUAUUGGCUACCAUGUUUUCAGCUUCAGUAACAAUGUUUGCAUAUUGCAAACACUCAACAUAUAUUUUGAAUUAAUGAAUUGAUAUCCACCAUAAUAGAAAUCACUAAUUUUAUUUAGCCCUUAAUAUGCACCAAUUUUAAGCAAUUUAAAUGUGCUAUUUCAUUCCAUUUUUACAUUGGCUUUAUGAGGCACCACUAUACUAAAGAAAAUUACAAUUGUUAAAAAAUUAUAGUUUUAUCCUGGUAGAAUUUACAUUAAUAAACUUACGAGUGGCUUUAUUAUCUGUUUAUUAUAUAAGGAAGUAAAAGUGUUUACUAAUUUUUAAAUUAAUUCCUACAUAAUUUCAGGGUGAAAAAGAAUAUACUAAGAGUAGUAUAUGUGAACUGGGGUAUUUUUGUAAAACACUAUCUUGGUACACUUUGUGUUGCUAUAAAAAUACCUGAGAUUGGGUAAUUUAAACAAACAAAGAAGAGCUUCAUGUAGCUCAUGGAUCUUCAGGCUGAGAAGUUCAAAGACAUAGCCCUGGCUUCCAGCAAGGGCUUUCUUCCUGUAUUACAACAAGUGGAGAAUGGUGGAGAAGGACAAAAAGGAAGUGGACUCAUGUGAAAUGAGAAAACAUGAGUGGUGUCCUGGCUUUAUGAAAAACUCAUUCUGGUGGAAACUAAUCCAUUUCCCCAAGAAUAAUCCAGCUUCACAAGAGUGAGAACUGACUCAUUACUACUAUAUCAGCAGCAAGUCAUUCAUAGGGAUCUCUACCCCUAACCAGUUACCUCCUAGUAGGUCCCACCUCUCAAUACCACUGCAUGGGGAUCACAUUUCUAUAUGAGUUUUAGUGGAGGAAAACAAAUCAUAUCCAAACCAUAGUAAACCGAAACAUUUUCCUUGGCAACGUCAAAAAUCUACUUACUUAAAGCAGAUGAACCAGUGUGUAGAAGCAGAGCAUCUUUUAGUUAUACACACAUAUUAUGCUAAUGGAGCUUAUUCUUUUAUUACUAUAAAGUAUUCUGAAAAUGUCCUCAAAUUGUUUUGGAAAAUAAUUCAUGGGAAAAAUAACAAAUGCUCAUAGAACUGCAUGAAGCAAUACUGCUGGAAAACAAAAUAAAAUAUGUGAUGGUGUUUUAUUGAUGGUAACAAUAUUAUCUAGUACUUGGUUGGCAAGAUUAAAAUGUAUCUAGGACUUGGAGCUAUUAAAACCCAUCAAAAGUAUCUCAUUAGAUGUUAAAGUAUUAAGGAAAUAGAAUUGCAAUUACCUAAAUCAUCAAAACAAGUUGCUUAAAAUUUUAUUCUCAGAGGUUUAGUAAAGAAGAUAUGGCAUUUUAAAAUAAAUAGUGCUCGUGACUAUUUACUUAAAAUAAUCAUGUGAUUCUUCAUCUUGGCCACGUAAAGAAGUAUGAGUUACUGCCUCUGAGUUGGCCUGAGAUGACAAGACUGUCAAGGUGAGGAUAUCUCAUAAAUUCCCUGAGUGUUAGCUAAUAAUACUUAGUGUCAUUCUAUCCUUCCAAAUAAGUUGAAUACGAAGUGCAAGCUAUGGAUUUGGGAAAAUGGGCAGAAGAACUUAAGAAUGUUUUUGGAAUAACCAGACUUAAAAACUAUAAUUUAAGAUGUUUUGUUGUUGUUGUUGUUUUUGGAGUAGAGACAAUAAAUUUAGCUUCAUAAUCAA